CCCUAGGUUAGGGAUUAAUUGCCCUAGGUAUUAAAACCUAGGUAUAAAAGCCUAGCUCAACCAUUUCCCCCGCACCCAGCUACUGUGCCAAAAAAAAAUUGCCGCCUCACCUCUUCAAUCACUCACUGGACUCGAUCGAACGGGUCACCAAGUUCAGAAACCUGUUCUAGCAUUUCCCCAUCUCGGCGACUUCAUGGGAGCAUCGUGGGCGAGGAGUCCAGCGAAGACCACCGGCGGCUACGGCUAGGGGAAGGGUUUCUUCAAGAGAGAUGCAGAAGGGAAGACAAGUAUAUCUAAUUGUGUUGACACGGGAUCCCUAAGGUAUAGGGAUGAGCUCCGGUGGUUUGUAAGGAUCGUGACGCAAAUUAUACGGUGAGGAUGUGUCUCCGGAUACGACGGAUGACCUACGGACGGAAUAGACGAGGAGGCAGGAUGGACGCAUGGUACUGUCCGUUGUUCGGGAGUGCAAGAGAUUUUCGUUUCUUUAUCAUUCGAGUGAGGAAUGUUGAGGAGUAAUUGUUUUUAUCGAUAAACAUUUGUUGAUACAGUCAUGUCUAUUGGUUAUGUUAGUUUCUUGAUAGUACUACCAUAUGAUCAUUCCAUUAGUAGUCGAUGAGAGAGAUUUUUUAAAAAAAAUAUGGGGAUGUUUCACUCGAGGUCCUCCCGGUGCGCCAAGACUCGCAGCGACAAGCUAACAGAGGCGCCGUGGAUGCUAGGGUUUUCCCUGCUGCGCCCUCAAAUAUUUGUGUUGAAGGUCUCCCUCACCACGCUGUGCUAAGUUUGCGAGGUUGGUGUGGUGGAACUUGAAGUUGCAGUUGAGAGAAUAGCAGUCACUUUUGAUUUUUUUUGGCGUCCCUUUUGGAACUUUUUCAUAGUGGUGUGUUUGAAGUUAAUUGCUCGAAGGAUGUAAAAGUUCAGGGUAUCAUAGGUCCUGUGCUUCUCUUGAAAAAGUGGGCUGAUUGUAAUGCUACCUUUAUAUCAUUGCUUAGUUAUUAA